rnacentral:rRNA from 1 species
UAAAAUCUUAGUGGCGGACGGGUGAGAACGCGUGGGUAACCUGCCUUACACUGGGGGAUAACACUUAGAAAUAGGUGCUAAUACCGCAUAAGCGCACGAAGCCGCAUGGAUUUGUGUGAAAAACUCCGGUGGUGUAAGAUGGACCCGCGUCUGAUUAGCUUGUUGGCGGGGUAACGGCCCACCAAGGCGACGAUCAGUAGCCGGCCUGAGAGGGUGGACGGCCACAUUGGGACUGAGACACGGCCCAAACUCCUACGGAAGGCAGCAG